rnacentral:rRNA from 1 species
UACGAAGGGUGCAAACGUUGCUCGGAAUUAUUGGGCGUAAAGCGCACGUAGGCGGCUUUGCAAGUCCCAUGUGAAAUCCCACGGCUCAACCGUGGAAGUGCAUGGGAAACUGCAGAGCUUGAGUACUUAAGAGGAUCGCGGAAUUCCCGGUGUAGAGGUGAAAUUCGUAGAUAUCGGGAGGAACACCAGUGGCGAAGGCGGCUCACUGGCCCGAUACUGACGCUGAGGCACGAAAGCGUGGGGAGCAAACAGG